rnacentral:rRNA from 1 species
AUUGAACGCUGGCGGCAGGCCUAACACAUGCAAGUCGAACGGUAGCACAGAGAGCUUGCUCUCGGGUGACGAGUGGCGGACGGGUGAGUAAUGUCUGGGAAACUGGCCGAUGGAGGGGGAUAACUACUGGAAACGGUAGCUAAUACCGCAUAAUGUCGCAAGACCAAAGAGGGGGACCUUCGGGCCUCUUGCCAUAGGAUGUGCCCAGAUGGGAUUAGCUUGUUGGUGAGGUAAUGACUCACCAAGGCGACGAUCCCUAGAUGGUCUGAGAGGAUGGCCAGCCACACUAGAGCUUAGACACGGUCCUGAGUCCUACGGGAGGCAGCAGUGGCGAAUGUUGCACAGUAGGCGCAAGCAUGGUGCAGCCAUCCCGCGUGUGUGAAAGAAACCUUCGGGGUGUAAAGCCCGUUCAGCGGGGGGAAAGGCAAUGCGGUUAAGAACCAUCUUGAUUGACGUUACCCGCAAAAGAAGCACCGGCUAACUCCGUG